GGAAGCUGUUCUAACUAAGGCGAGAGGAUUUUUGACCUUUGGGCCGCCUUCGUUUGACAUUGGAGGGCCUUCCGGAAGCUUAACGUGAGGGCUGAGGCCUAGUGGAGUUGAUUUCGGGACCCUUGUAAACUGAUUUGGAGCGUAGUACGAGAGCCAUCUACUGAAGAGGC